rnacentral:lncRNA from 1 species
CUAGACAUGUACAACACCUCAUGUCAAACAAUUGAUUGUAACAAAAGUGCAACAACCUACUACAUACUUGUUCUUUGUUUCGUUUUUUUUGUCGGUCAAACAUGCUUGUUUAACUAUAUAUGAAACAUAUGUUAUCAAUAAACAAGUUCCUUAAAAACGUGUUUGUAAUUAAAAAAAACAAAAAAACACAUUUGUUGUCCAUUGUACAUUGUUGUAAAAACGGGUUUGUAUUAAAAAAAACAAAAAAACACAUUUGUUGUACAUUUGUUACAACAAAAAAACACAUUUGUUCUACAAUUAAAAAAAAACAUGAAAAUUAUAUGGACAUUGAGAGAGGAAAUCAG